AGCUAAGUGUGGAAAAGAUAAGCGCUGAAAGCAUCUAAGCGCGAAACAGACUUCAAGAUAAGGUAUCCCACUCUGUUAAGGAGUUAAGAUCCCUUAAAGAUGAUAAGGUAGAUAGGCCGGAGGUGUAAGUAUAGUAAUAUAUUGAGCUGACCGGUACUAAUAGAUCGAGGGCUUAAUCAU
rnacentral:rRNA from 1 species